CUGGAGGUAUCAGAAGUGCGAAUGCUGACAUAAGUAACGAUAAAGCGGGUGAAAAGCCCGCUCGCCGGAAGACCAAGGGUUCCUGUCCAACGUUAAUCGGGGCAGGGUGAGUCGACCCCUAAGGCGAGGCCGAAAGGCGUAGUCGAUGGGAAACAGGUUAAUAUUCCUGUACUUGGUGUUACUGCGAAGGGGGGACGGAGAAGGCUAUGUUGGCCGGGCGACGGUUGUCCCGGUUUAAGCGUGUAGGCUGGUUUUCCAGGCAAAUCCGGAAAAUCAAGGCUGAGGCGUGAUGACGAGGCACUACGGUGCUGAAGCAACAAAUGCCCUGCUUCCAGGAAAAGCCUCUAAGCAUCAGGUAACAUCAAAUCGUACCCCAAACCGACACAGGUGGUCAGGUAGAGAAUACCAAGGCGCUUGAGAGAACUCGGGUGAAGGAACUAGGCAAAAUGGUGCCGUAACUUCGGGAGAAGGCACGCUGAUAUGUAGGUGAAGCGACUUGCUCGUGGAGCUGAAAUCAGUCGAAGAUACCAGCUGGCUGCAACUGUUUAUUAAAAACACAGCACUGUGCAAACACGAAAGUGGACGUAUACGGUGUGACGCCUGCCCG
rnacentral:rRNA from 1 species